UACGUAGGGUGCGAGCGUUAAUCGGAAUUACUGGGCGUAAAGCGUGCGCAGGCGGUUUAGUUAAGAUAGGCGUAGAAACUCCCGGGCUCAACCUGGGAACUGCGUUUAUGACUGGCAGGCUAGAGUAUGGCAGAGGGGGUGGAAUUCCACGUGUAGCAGUGAAAUGCGUAGAGGAUGUCGGAGGAACACCGGAUGGCGAAGGCAGCCCC
rnacentral:rRNA from 1 species